rnacentral:miRNA from 1 species
AACAUUCGACUGCUUGACGGGA